rnacentral:sRNA from 1 species
AUUAGCUAUGUAAACUUUCUAUCUCUGCUUUGGCUCUCUAAACCGUUUUAGUUAUGAAAGCGGUUUAGAUAAAAAGAAAUU